rnacentral:lncRNA from 1 species
ACUCUCCAACACACAUGCAGCAAAAAGGGGAAUCCGCGCGCUCAGCAGCUCAAACCUGGGCCUUCCACACGCAUAGGCAUGCUGCUAGCCACUGCGUCGUAGCUUGCUCUUGGAUAUAUGACAGUCGCAAUUAACUUUAAACCUUACCUGCUGAAGUCUUGGUCCGCCUAAAAACAAACCAAAAUAAUGCCAGCACCUGGAUUCAAACUCGUGCCCUCUCAGUCCCUCGUAAUGCGCUGCUGCCACUGCACUGAAGCUCUUCUCAUGAUAUAAUCUGC